UACGUAGGGGGCAAGCGUUGUCCGGAUUUAUUGGGCGUAAAGAGCGUGUAGGCGGCCAGGUAGGUCUGCUGUGAAAACUCGAGGCUUAACCUCGAGACGCCGGUGGAAACCAUCAGGCUAGAGUCCGGAAGAGGAGAGUGGAAUUCCUGGUGUAGCGGUGAAAUGCGCAGAUAUCAGGAAGAACACCCGUGGCUAAGGCGGCUCUCUAGUACGGUACUGACGCUGAGACGCGAAAGCGUGGGGAGCGAACAGG
rnacentral:rRNA from 1 species